rnacentral:rRNA from 1 species
GACGAACGCUGGCGGCGUGCUUAACACAUGCAAGUCGAACGGUAAGGCCCUUCGGGGUACACGAGUGGCGAACGGGUGAGUAACACGUGGGUGAUCUGCCCUGCACUUCGGGAUAAGCCUGGGAAACUGGGUCUAAUACCGGAUAGGACCCUGGGAUGCAUGUCCUGGGGUGGAAAGCUUUUGCGGUGUGGGAUGGGCCCGCGGCCUAUCAGCUUGUUGGUGGGGUGAUGGCCUACCAAGGCGACGACGGGUGGCCGGCCUGAGAGGGUGACCGGCCACACUGGGACUGAGAGACGGCCCAGACUCCUACGGGAGGCAGCAGUUGGGAAUAUUGCACAAUGGGCGCAAGCCUGAUGCAGCGACGCCGCGUGAGGGAUGACGGCCUUCGGGUUGUAAACCUCUUUCAGCACCGACGAAGCGCAAGUGACGGUAGGUGCAGAAGAAGGACCGGCCAACUACGUGCCAGCCGCCGCGGUAA